ACAAGUAGAGAAAAUGGGAAUGUACUUUCGUGCUGCUGAGUUAUACGCAAGUGGGAUCAAGAUUUUUUUUUUAAACGUUUUCAAGGUCAAUGGAGAGUAUUUGAGAGAGAUAGUGGGUGGGAGAGGUGGCCACCACCAACAUAAACUCCAACAGUUCAAGAUGCGUCUUGAUGCUUUUUCAUCAUGUGGAAGAUAAAUUUAUCUCAUUGUUUGGAGUGACUCUACAUAUAUAAUUUUGUCAUCCAGGGACAUCAAAAGAGGCAAACGCUCUAGAUAUAAAUUAUUUUCUUUUACGAAAAAAGUUUGUUUAUUUUCCAAUCGGUCCAUGUAUGACAAUCUAUUUCAAAAUAAGUGAACCUGACCUCUCUGGCUCCCUUUCUUGAACUGGACAAAUUGUGCGCUCUUAACUUUGCAUAUCGCAGGGAAAAGAGUGCGUUAUGGAAAGCUUAACUAGAGAAGGAAGGAUACAAAGUUUUUAAAAGCUUCCAGACUUUUGGUCGUGUUUCAGUAAGAAGGCAGUAUAAAGGCUUGGCCGUCUACUCCCAGAAGUCCCUUGGGUUAGUCAUCUCUACUCUUCCCUGCUAUUAGACAAAUAACUUUUUCACCACUGCUGUUUUCUACGUUGCCAAAUAUGUGUGUAGGCAUCAAUUCCGUUGAUUUGGAUGCUAGUUUUCUGCCAAAACCCUCAAAAGUGAGCACUUUUGUUAGAUUAGUUAACGAAAUUAGUACCUUACAUGUUUGUGUACUGACUUCCAAGCCAAAGAUUGUUUUCUUGUUCAUUUCUUUCCUAACCUCAGAUGAGAAGAUGGAAGAGGAGACAAAGACAAUCGAAUAUCAUUAUUCACACGGUAUAUAUAUACAUAGCUUACGAGCUUGGAGUCUAUGAAACUGAGUGUAAGUCUUUAACAAGGCAUCUUAUUGAGUAAUGCAGAUUCUGAGAACAAUUACGAGAGAUACAUCUUUCGACUAUUACGCUGUCGAUCGUAUGUUUCUUUCUUCAAACAAUUAUUUGAUCUGUAACCAAAGUUGAUUACUUAACACUGAUCUUAAAUCAUUUUGAUCUUCUCUUUAAUUU